CGGCGGCGGCGGCGGCUCGGGGCAGCAGUGGUAGCACUGCUGGGUACUGGGCGGGCAGCACGACGGCGGUGGCGGCGCUGGGUACGGCACCGGGAACGGCACCAGCUUGCACACCUGCUCCUUGGGCGGCGGCCAAGCGUCGACGGUCUUGAUGUCCUUGACGACCUUGCCGCCGGCCUUGCAGCAGAUCUUGUUGCGGAGGCAGCCGGCGUCGAACUUGCCGCGCACGAUCACCUUGUCGUCCUUUUCCUCGAACUCCGUCUUCUCGAUGCAGUACUCCGCUGCAUCGAUCGCACACAUUUUCAAAAAUAAAUACUCCCUUGCUAUUUUAAUGUAUAACGCAUACACUUUUACGAUCAAUGUUUGAUUAUUCGUCUUAUUUAUUUUUUUUUCAAAUGUAAAAAUAUUUAUAUCAUGCUUAAAUAACAUUUGAUGAUAAAUCAAAGUCACAAUAAAAUAAAUGAUAAUUGCAUAUUUUUUAAUAAGAUAAAUGGUUAAACGUUGAUCAAAAAAUUAACGGCGUUAUACAUUAAAAUGUGUAGGAAGUUUAAUGAUUAAGGAUCAUUUUAUUAUUCUUAAGAAUCUAUACCUAGAAGUAUGGGCGGAAGCAUGGGCGGAAGUAGAACAAAAUGAAGGGGGUUAUACUCGCUUGCUUUACUCAGGUUUGGAUCGAAUUUAGCUUGAUAGGGGUGUCUAGGUUUGGAUUGAUGGGAUAGAUAUAUGAUGAAAAUAGAUAAAUUGUAGCUACAAAAAUUUCUGAUCCGGGUCCUGGUACCCCUAAAUAUAUGUAGCUAUGCCCCUUACCUUGAGGUAUUUUAUUUUCUAGUGUAAAAUUUAGGUACAUCAAAGUGCUAUCUCGAGAACUGUAAAAUUUAACAUUGAUCGACUCCCCUCAGAAUUAUUGAUCAGUUCGUAAUACAAUUUCAUGCACGAUGAGAAACAAUCAAAUGAAUUAAACCACUCGUCCACGCCACAAAAUCAACCUGGCUGGUAUAUACUCCCUCCGUUUCAAAAUGUUUGACGCCGUUGACUGUUUUAAACAUAUUUUAUCGUUCGUCUUAUUCAAAAAAUUUAAGUAAUUAUUAAUUAUUUUCCUAUCAUUUGAUUCAUUAUUAAAUAUAUUUUUAUGUAGGCAUGUAAUUUUACAUAUUUCAUAAAAGUUUUUGAAUAAAACGAACGGUCAAAUAUGUGCUAAAAAGUCAACGGUGUCAAACAUUUCGAAACGGAGGGAGUAUGCUAUUAUAGUUUGGAACCUGAAAAUAUUCUCAAUAUUGGUUUCGACUUAUAUUAAGGUCAGUUUCACUUUCAUGCAGAAAUUAGCUAGUUUAUAUAUACCUUUGAGGCAGUCCAGGACCUUGGUGAUCUUCGCCCUGCAGCGGCAGCAUUUCAGGUCUACCGUGAUGACCAGUAUAGACGCCCCCAUCUGCAGAUUACACACGUACAACAUGCAGAAUUAAGAUCUUUAGAUAAUAGACAACAUAUAUGCUAGUAAUAUUUGCUUCAAAAAAAUAUAUGCUAGUAAUAUAUGCAGGUUUUACUCCAGCCGAGUUAUUAAGCACGUCUAGAACACGCGAGUUUUGCAGGAUUAAUUAACUUUACAACAAGAAGAUCACUUUUUUUUUCAGAAAAUUCAAGAAACAAAUCACUUCUAGAUUCAUGGAAACAGGGGUGGAGGUAGAGUAUGGGAGAGGGUGCCCAGAAACCCGGUUAAGAAAAAAUUUUAGCUAUACCUCAUCGAUUUUCACCAUGUAUGCAAAUACAAACUUAGACACCCGUAUCAGUUUAAACUUGAUCUAAAAUAGAGUAAAUUAAGCAAGAGGCACGUUGAUCAUGCACGCAUGAAAUUAAUUCUUAGUUAUUUUUCGUCUAAUAUAUCGAAAACAAAAUUCUAAUUAAGUUAUUGGAUUGCAAACUAGUGCAUGCCUAUACAGUUCUAGGAAAACUUGAUCAGUGUCGACGUUGAUCAGGUCAGCACAAGGAUUAAUUACUAUAUAUACCAUGUACUAUGGCAACUAUAGUAGUAUUACUACAAGUUAAAAAAAAGUCUGGGACUAUGUUAAUAAUCUCACCUUAAUUUGAAUGCUGAAACGGAAGAUGAGUAUGGGGAGAUCGAGAUGAAGCAGAAGAGAGGUGAACACUUGGGGUACUUAUAUUAUGUUUGGAUACGCUGAAUCCUUCCGAAUUAUUGGUGAUGCAGAGAGUUUUGUCAGUCAGCAGCUCUAGGGUUCAUGACUUCCUGACUUCCUGUUUCAACGAUGGGUAGGUACACGUAAGAGACAGAAAACGAUUGUUUACUGUGCCCUUGUUUUAGUCCUAAACAUUUUAUUCAAACUACCAAUUUUUCUAUCACAUCAAAACUUUCCUACACACAAAAACUUUUAACUUUUACAUCACACCGUUCCAAUUUCAACAAAACUGCUAAUUUUGGUGUGACCUAAAUAUAGCUUGGUCUUCCUCGUAUCUUCUUGUCCUCUGUAAUAAGUUUCUUUGAUGUAUGUUAUACUCUGUUUUACUUUUGUCAUUUCAUAUAUUACUACCUUCGUCCUAAAAAGAUCAUAGUUUUACACUGUUUAUGUUGAACGUUUUAACGUCCGUCUUAUUUAAAAAAAAUUAUAAUUACUACUUUUGUUGUUAUUAGAUGAUAAAACAUGGAUAGUACUUUAUGCGUGACUAUUUUUUAAAAAAAAUUCAUAUUUUUUAAAAAUAAGACGGAUAGUUAAACGACGUUAGACAUGGAAACAUAUAACAGUUAAAGUGGGACAAAGGUAGUAUGAUUUUCUUUCAUGAACAUUGUCGUAUGGACAUGCUGCAACUUAAUUUAGAUUUAAUUCCUCAGGAAAAAGAAAGGGUCGUUUUGGAUAUAUUUAAGUUAAACUUUAUGAAAUUUUAGCAUGCGAUUUUCAGAUAAUUAUUCAGCUCGAAACGUGCAUCUCGAACAGUUUUACUAGAAUUUUGUCAAAAACCCAUUCGAAUUUAGCAAAAAGGAAAAAAAACAAUGUCUUCUAGGGCUCGAAAUCCGCUAGCCAAUCGAGAUUGUAAACUAUGAAGGUUGGUGAUGUAAAAAUAUUUCUAUUAUAGAUAAAAAGUUAAUUUCACUUUGGGCCAUAUUAAUUUUAUUACUAAAGUUUUACUUUGGACCACCAUAUAUCCAAUCUUUUCACUUUAAUAUGGAUUAUAUUGAGCUAAUCCAUAUGCUCCGUGUAUUUUGGAACUGACAUGGAGAGAGAAAAAGAAGGAAACAAUAGUAAUAAGUAAAAUAGUAAUUUUUAGGUUAAUGAUGAGAGUCCUUGUCGUCUUAAUUACCUAAUGUAGGAGAAUAGUCUCUAAAUAAAAAAAUGUAUUAUUUAAGAGUUCAUAUCAUCGGACUCUACAUCUGAAGAUGAGGUAACGUAUAUACAACUAUACAAAAUAACUAACUCAUAUAAAACUAUACAAAUUAUAUGUUAUAGAUGAACAUAUAUAGGUUUCAAAGUUUCGGACAAAAUUUCCAAAAUUUUAGAAAUUUCGGGUCCAUCGGACCCUUGAUAUGAAAUUAUUUUGCCCUAAUUUUUUAUUUUUGCAAGUUUUUGUGAUAUUGGCCAAAUUUUGUUAAAAAUUCAAAUGAUUUUAGACCAAAAUAACCAAAAAAAAAUUCCAAAAUUUCGGUCGUAUGGUACCCCAAAAUAAUUAUCAAAACUGAAAAAUUGAACCCUAGAUGAAUAGCAUGGACUAUAAACAAAAGCGCGCCAACUGGCGUGUUUAGAUCCAUGUAAAGUUUUGGCGUGUCACAUCGAAUAUUAUAUAGGAUGAAUCCGUCAGUAAACUACGAGACGAAUUUAUUAAGCCUAAUUAAUUCGACAUUAGCCAACGUUUACUGUAGCACUACAUUGUCAAAUCAUGUAGCAAUUAGGCUUAAAAGAUUCGUCUCGCAAAUUGGUCGUAAUCUGUGCAAUUAAUUAUUUUUUAACCUAUAUUUAAUACUUUAUAUAGGUGAUAAACGCUUGAUGUAACGGGAUGAAAAAUUUUGGGUGAUCUAAAUAGGGCCUGAAUCAAUAUUGUUAGCACACGUUCCUAUAAUUUUUAUUAAUGACAAGCUGUGGCAAAGCUUUGGAGGUUGAGCCCUUGACCACGCCAUGUUUUUGGGUUACAACGCUUUGUAUAUUGUCGUGUGCGACGUGUGUAUGGGCCUCGAUUCAUGCGUUACAUGUUCUAAAAAAAAGAGACUCGUGCGUUAGAACAGUGUAAGUGGAAAAUAACGUGACAACUUGUUCAAAAUUACGGACUUGUACGAAAUAACGUGACAAUGUGUACCAAAAAUAACUUGUACAAAACUGACAUAUUUAUGAAUGUCAAUCUGAUACAAUUUAUAAAUCGAACGUGACAACUUAUACAAGAUGGCAGGACAUUAGGUGUGAGAUCCAACAUGUGUGAAACCUCAGGUGUGAAACCCGAUGUGUCAGCCAUAUGACUUGAACUCGUGUGACACCGUACCCGAUCGAUGUGUCAACCGUAUGACUUGAACUCAUUCUAUGGGUACAACCUUAGGUGUGAUACCCGACGUGUUAACCAUAUGACUUGAAUUCGUUUGAUGGGUACAACUUUUGGUUCACAUUGAAUAUAUAUUAUUUGAUUUCAAAUGUAAAGGUAGAUGUUUUUUUUUUGGCUAUCCUACUUGUCAUUUGCUGCCACAACCAUAUACGAAGUAUAUCGCAGGCACAUGCUCAUUGCUUCACCAAGCUCUCUCUCCGUUCGUAUAUAUCUUGAAGAAAUGUGCAAAAUUUGCAACAUUGCUUACUUCAGUAGCUAAGAUUUUCUUAUGGUAGUGUUUUGGGUGCACUGGAUCCAUAACUCCGAUCGACCGAGCUGAUUUUUGUUAAGACAUCAAAAUACUUUUUUUAAAAAAAAAAUCUGUAACCUUCAGAGGCACUAACCCGUUGCAUGUGAGUAAAAUGUUCUUUAAUUUGUCCGAGGUUGCUCACAGAUGCUGUGUUGAUUAACCUUAACGCAAGUGCAACGUCACCCACUUGAACACGUACGGUAUAGGUAUAUUAAUUAGUACUAUAUAUAAUCGCAUCCCUGUCACCAUUGCAUAUUUAUUAGAGAAAAAGACUGAAUAGCUGAUCACCAACUAUAAUGGUUAAUGUGGCGUAGCUAGCUAUAGGUGGCACUGUGGGUCAUGAACCACCUAAAAUUUUAAUCAAGAUUAAAACUAAGUAUAUAUGCUAGUUAAUAUAAUAAAAAUUAUAUAAUGUAUCAUCCUUUUAAUUGACCUAUUAUAUAUAGAUGUGCCACCUUUAUUAUAAAUCCUAGCUAAGCAACUGAUUAACGCAUGCAAGCAUCACAUACCAUACAGGACUCCUAAUCAGCUACUACUAAUAAUGAUUAGUGCUAGCAUGAUUGGCGGCAGGCGUCCUUCCUUUUUUUUCACAGUUUAUAAAUUCCCUAAAAAAGGUGACAAGUGACAACAUGCGCUGUGUGUUGGUUGAUAUGUUCCCCAGCCAAGAAGUCAGACAAGAGGCAAGGACGAGACAGCCUCCUAUACUAGCUACCGACCUAAUUCAUCCAUCCUUCAUGAACAGAAUGUUUCUAAUUGACUGUAAAAUGAGUCAUGGAAGUCAUAAUUUAAUCUAGCUAGCUAGGCUCAACAAAAAGGUAGGUGGUUUUGAUCACUGACAAUUGGCUAGCCUGGUAUGUAAUCCAUUUCUUGUUUCAGGGAUCGAUGGCCUUUCUAAAUCCGCCCCUGGUUUAUUCAUGUCAAUAGUGCAUGUGAGGUUAACAACAACACUAUGCCGGCCACUGCCAGCCUUCCCCUAUAGUUAAAUGAAAUGGCUAUAUAUAUGUUGAGUGGAAAUUGAGUGGAGUUUGGAGCGUGUACGUGUUGGCUCUCUGUACGUAUAGCCAAACCUCUUCAGUUUGAAAAUAUAUAAGAGUUGGGGGAAAUUAAUUAAACACGUUUAACGAGUGGGUUCAGUUCAAAAUUGCUCCAAAUACAAUUAUAAAUCAAAAUAAUGAGAAGUCCUAGUUAGGAAGUAGUAGAUAUUAUUAUUAUUAUUAUUAUUAUUAUUAUUAUUAUUAUUAUUAUUAUUAUUAUUAUUAUUAUUAUUAUUAUUAUUAUUAUUAUUAUUAUUAUUAUUAUUAUUAUUAUUAUUAUUAUUAUUAUUAUUAUUAUUAUUAUUAUUAUUAUUAUUAUUGGGAUGAGUAGUGGAGUAGGGAAAACACUAGAGUCGGGAUUGAAUUCUCGGUUGCAGCACAAGCAACAUCGCAACUGACCAAUCGAGCGGGUUCACUGUAGACCCCUAUCGGUAGAUAUGACGUAGUCCAAUAUAAUGGGUGUAAUUGUAUUAAAACACAAUUCAUACUGACAUAUAUACAUUAAAAAUGAAUGCUAUAUACUGGGCGUGUUCGGCUGCCAUUCUUGCGGCAGCGCUGCGGCUGCAGCGCUUGGUUGUGCGGCUGCAGCUGUGCUGCUUGCUGCUGCAGUUAGCUGCCAUGCAGCUGCGAAAAAUGACAGCCGAACAGGCCGACUAACAUGAAAAACAAUUUUCAAAGACCCCCAUCCUAAACUAUACAGGCUGGUGAUUCUUUUAGGUCGAAACCCCUUCUAUAGAAUUGUAAACCUUCGAAACCCUUAUAAAAAGUGGCGGUGGGAGAGCCUGGGGAGGUGAUCGAGCAUAAGCUUGCCCUCCCCUGAUUUUAUUUCUAUUGCAACUAUUGUAGUUUGAGUAAAAUUUAAGUAAAUUUAGCACUGUUUCCCGCUUUAGCAAAUAAAUUUUAGGGUUGUUGGCUUCAAAAUAACCCCCAUGCAGUAGUUGCACUCAUCAGCACUCUUGCCUCUUAGCUGGAACUGGUUGAGCAAAAUAUAUAUACAUGUCAAAUAUAUAGACAACAAAUUACAUACAUGUAUAUACUGUAUACACACAACAAAUUACAUGUGUAGUAAUAUAGACAAUUAAUAAAAUUACAUGAUUUAAUUAAGAAAAAAAUACCACACCAGACAUAAGUAAUUAACGCGUUUAAUUAUUCCGAUUUCCGAGGCACGUACGGCAGCUGUUCGAUCACAUGACAGAGCAUCCCUCCGGCUGCUCAUAGACGACGUAGCCGCCGCCGCCGCACGGCGGCGGCGGGCAGACGGGCUGCCACGGGCACGGCGGCGGCGAACAGCAGGGCUUCUUGCAGCCGCCGCCGCCGCCCCCGCAUUCCCCGCCGUGUCCUCCUGAACAGCCGCCGCCGCAGCCGUCGACGCCGCACUUGCACCGCGGCGGCGGAGGCACGCAGCCGCCGCAGCACGGCUUAGGCUUGUCCGUCGCCGUCUUGUUGCACGGCACCGGGUAGGGCACCGGGUACGGGAACGGCACCAUCUUGCACGCCGGCGGCUGCUUGUUGCAGUGCUCCCUCUCCACCAUGAUGAAGGCCUCCGCGGUGGCCUUCGCCGCCGCCUCCGCCGCGGCGACGGCCGUGGCGGUGACGUCGGCCUUGACAUUGACGGUGACCGCCGGCGGCGGCGGCGGCCACACCUCGACGAUGACGAUGCUGACGAUGAUCUUGCAGCCGGCCUUGCGCCAGAUGCACGUGCGGAGCUCCUCCGCGCAGAAGCUUCCCCGGACGAUCACCUUCUCGCCCUCGUACUCGAUCUUCUCGAUGCAAUGCUUGCCUGCAUCGAUCAGACAGACAGACAAAUCAACACAGGUACAUUCAGAAAAAGAAUUCAGAAACUCUUGAUCUUAGUUUGCAGAGAUGCAGUUUCAGAAACAGAAAUUAAAAGGAGAUCGAAUCAAGUUGGGUGUGUAGUAUACAUCUGAGGCAGUUGAGGAUCUUGUCGAUCUUCUCCUUGCAGCGGCAGCAUUGCAUGUUCACCGUGAUCACAAGUAUAGCCAUCGUUGCUUGAUCGAGAUGGUGGUUAGAAUUAUGGAGGAGAUAUGAUGGAGCAGCAGAGCUGAACCCUAUCGAGUUACUUAUUGAGGCUGAAGGCCUCGCGUUUGGUCCGUCCGAUCGAUCGUGCCUCUACGGUGCCGACAGCAAAGAGAGAUGGAAAAGGGACUGCAGUUGGUACAUAGGACAGUUUGAUCCUUUUCACGCCCUGUCCUCUUUAAUUUCUUAUAUCUCCAUUCUCAUAGUUGGCUGAUGGUUUUCUUUAUUAUUGCAUAUAUUUUAUUCACAAUUGAUCCUUUUUGUUGAGAACUUUCUUUUAGUGCAAAUCAUGCAAGAUAGCUUUCACUGUAAAAAAAAUAAAUCAUGAAAUCGACCUCCCAGGUAUGUUGUUACGUAUAUCGGCCUACGUAAUCAGAGUAUGUAAUCAACCGUGAAACUCACACAAUCGUGAAAAUUGAUCUCCCAGAUAUAUGUACAGUUACAUAUAUCGGCCUAUGCAAUCAAAAGCAAGUGGAACUCACAUGAUCGUGAAAUUGACCUCCCAGAUAUAUAUGUAGUUACAUAUCACCUACGUAAUCUGCCAAUGUAAUCAGCAGUGGAACUCAUGCAAUGUUGAAUCGGGCAUGUUAUUGUCUAAUCGUACUCUUUAUUUUCUUUAAUUUUCUUAAGGAUUGUAAUCCUUCGAAAUUCUUUUAAACAAUGGCGAAGGGAAGGGGAGGAGAGCAUAUAUAGGCUUGCCUGAUUUUGUGGAUUUUCAAUGUGAUUAUUGUAGCACGAGUAAAAUUCAAGUAAAUUAGCACUGUUGACAACUUAACAAAUAAAUUUUAUGGUUUUUGACUUCCAAAUAAUCCCCAUGGCAUGAGGAAGUUAAAGUACUCUUGCCUCUUAUUGAUGCAUUGGUUGAUAAUUCAUCACAUUGGACAAAAUACAUGUCAAAUUUACACAGCCAAUUGCAUGCAUAUGUAAUAUAUAUAGACAAGAAAUUACAAGAUUUAACACAAAGAUUCUUGUACACAGUUUUGGCUAGCUGGCACUGUAUGAUUUUGUGACCAUAUUCCACGCAGUAUACAGAGCACACCACCAGUCCACACAAACAAUGCCAGAAUAAACAUGGUAAAAUUUACUACAGUACAUGCAUCAUAGAUUUGUGGCCAUUUACCUUAGGACACUCCAGAAACAUUGUCUUUUGCCAUUGGACACUCCGGUUUGGUGAUAAUUUGCUAAAAACACUAUAACCAUUAUUUUAUCAUUUUUGGCUUCAACUGCUAGAGAAUUUAAUUUCAAAAAAGGAUGCUUUUACACUCAUUUCAAAUUGCAAAAAGGAUGCUUUUACACUCAUUUCAAAUUGCAUGCUCAAUCCAGCUUUAUUGAAGAUUUUUUUUUAGACGAUUGAGAUAGAAUGGAAAUUUCAAUAAAAAAACUGGAAAAAAAAGCUGAAUUCAAACAAAUUUGUUGAGUUCAAACUGGCUUAUUUUUUAGAAAAUUACCACCAAAUCCAGAAUGUGCUAUGGCAAAACCACAUUUCUAAAGCGCCCUACAUCAGAUACCACAAAUCAAUCUAGGAUGCAUGUCUCGUACCAAAUUUCGCCAAAUAUAAACAUCGGCGUGUGGCGUUUAUUCCGAUUUCAAUUCAGACUGUACUGUCCGAUCGAUCGAUCGAUCACAUGACGGAGCAUGGACCAACCUCCUGCUCGCACACCAUGACGUUCACGUUGCAGUUGCAGCUGCCGCCCCACUGCGACGAGCAGUGCCGCUGCUGGCAGAAAUGCUGCGGCGGCGGCGGGCACGGCGGCCGCGGACACGGCGGCGGCGAGCAGGGCCGCAGGCACGGCGGCGGCGAGCAGGACCGCUGCGGGCAUGGAGGCGGCGGCCGGGGGCACGGCGCGGCGAGCAGGGCCGCUGCGGGCAUGGCGGCGGCGGCGGUGCGGGCAGCACUUGCAGGGCACGGGGUAUGGCACCGGGUACGGGAACGGCACCAUCUUGCACCCCGGCGGCUUGCCGCCGCAGUGCUGCUGCAGCCCCCUCUCCUUGAUGACGACGGCGACGGCGGCCCUGGCGGCCGCCUCGGCGGCGGCCUUGGCCUCCGCGGUGACCUCGGUCUUGACGCUGACGUUGACCUCCACCGGCUUCGGCUUCGGCGGCGGCCACAACUCGACGAUGACGAUGCUGACGAUGACCUUGCAUCCGGCCUUGCGCCAGAUGCACUUGCGGAGCUCCUCCGCGCAGAAGCCUCCCCGGACGAUCACCUUCUCGCCCUCGUACUCGAUCUUCUCGAUGCAAUGCUUACCUGCAUCGAAUCAUCCAUCGAUCAGACAGACAAAUCAACACAUGUACGUACAUUCAGAAAAAGAAUUCAGAAACUCUUGCUCUUAGUUUGCAGAGUUGCAGUUUCAGAAACCGAAAUUAAAAAGAAGAAUCAAGUUAGGUGCAUAUAUACAUCUCAGGCAGUUGAGGAUCUUGUCGAUCUUCUCUUUGCAGCGGCAGCAUUGCAUGUUAACCGUGAUCACGAGUAUAGCCAUUGUGAUCAGUCACUGCCAGUGAUCGAGCAGGGGAGCAAGCUAGGAAGAGAGAAAGCUGGUUAGUUAGAAAUGGAGGAGAUGGAGCAGCAGAACUGAACCCUAUUGCCGUUACUUAUGCUGUUUUUGGGGGUAAUAUUCGUAUGAGGGCUCUCACAAGGCUGAAGUCGUGUUUCUCUCGACCGUCCGAUCGCGUCUCUGCGGUGCCGACAGCAAAGAGAUGGAAAAGGGACUGCAGGUUGCUAUAUAGGACAGUUUGGUCCUUGUCACGCCUUGUCCUCUUUGGGUUCUUAAUCUUCUAGUUGGCUAAUGGUUUUCUUGUAGUUAUAUGUAUUUUUCUCAAGAUUGAUUUUUUCUUGAUAACUUUGUUUGGUGCGAAUCAUGCAAGAUAGCUUUUCGCUGCGAGAAAUCGUAAAAUCGACCUUCCCAGAUAUCUAGCUACGUAUAUCGGCUUACGCAGUCGAUUUACGUUAUCAGUAGUGGAACUCACACAACAUUGAACGUGGCAUGUUAUUGGCUAUCAUGAAUUCGCUAAUAAAAUAAGUGUUUCUAUGAAAAUAGUUAGCAAUCAUGCAUUCAACUAUUCUUUUUCAUAAUAUAUUUGCUAACUACUGUAUUUUUCUUGAACGUAAACCACUUUUCGAUAGCUUGGGUUGCUCUAAUUAAUGGUCAUGUAGCUCUAUAGACUCUAACCCUACACUAGCCUUCCCACUCUCCUCCAUGACCCUUCAGCCAUCGUUGUCCAAGGCUCCCAUGCACCACCUCCCUCUACCGCGCAUUGGCACUAUGAAUCGCCCACUUACUUUUUUUUUUGUUAUCUUCCUUCCCUUUUCCCUUGUUUAGAUUCCCUAGUCUCUAGUUAGCUCAUGCCACCGAGUAUACGUCCUUUGUAUUAAUUGCUUCAUACUUGGUGGAACUCAUUAGGUGUUUUAGGGCACCACAUAUAUCGGAAUAGCGAUAGAUUGGAGUUAGAGGUGGUGAUGGUGGUACUAAUUAACAACCAAGCACAAGCUUGGAGGAGGGCAGAACAAUGACAAGGAUAAAAUGGUUAGCUUAUUGACACACUAGGAAUGUGUAGUAAGGCAAGCCACCCUGGCUUUAGAAUGUGAUAAUAUGAUUAUCGAAGGUUGCAAUAUUGACAUAAAUAUUAACUAUUUUUGUUGAAUUUUGUGAAUGGCUAAUGUUUUCGAGCUUCGAUGCAUAGUGUAGUCUUUCCUAGAUCAUUUUCCUCUUUUCAAAAAGCUCUGGGUAUGUCAUGUUGAAAGAGAGCAUCGACCAUUAAGGCGCAGACUAGCAGCCAACCCUUCAAGGAGAUGUCCCUUCGUGUACUUUUUUUUAAUUCAACGCAAAUAGUUAUAAAUUAUUUUGAAAAACAUUGACAAUAUAGAGUGCAGCGAUAUCUAUCACUCCACCGAAAAUCGUGUUCAAUUUUGACCUAUAUAUUGAGAGAAAAAAAGAUAAAUUCAGGUAUAAUAGUAUCACUACUAUUCAUAUGCUAAAUUUAUCAUUUUUUAUAUAUCUUAAUGUGUAAGUUGAAUUUGCACCUAUAAUUUUAUACAUUGCUAUAUAGAUAUGUUGUCAAUUUUUUAAAUGUUGUUUCUAACUAUUUGAAUGGUUUUUAAACAAACAAGGAGACAUUUUCUCGAGAGAUCAAAACAGUUUCCCAGCCAAAGGCAUUUCGGACUUGGCGAGGAUUGCAUCACUAUAAAAACAAUUUUCUCUUGUAGCUAGGCCUCCCCUUCUUUCUAUAUAGCUCAUGCAGCUUCCUUUCUUCCUGCAGUCCAUGUGCUCAAUAUAGUUGGAUCAAAUUAAUAGCCUUCAUCAGUUAGUUAGCAAAGUUGAAAUAAAAUUCGGUUCGACUUUGUUGCUUAGGUCUCACAAAUUGCAGCAUGCGCGUUAGUAUCUUAGAUCUCUGUUGUUGGUAGUGCUUCUGGUGCACCCAAUCCAUACAUAUAUAACUCAAACAUGAAUUAAUUUGUUAAGACAUCAAGAUAGAUGUGCUUUCGAAAAUUUCUAACCCAGACGCCAACCUGUAGCAUGUCAGAAAGUUGUUUGUCCUAGGUUGUUUCAUAGAUGCUAUGCACUAACCCUUCCAUUGGACCAUCACCCACUCGGACUUUCCUACAUAUAUAUAGUUGCAUCCCGGUCAGUAUUCCAUCUGUACAGUUAGAGAAAGACUGAAUAAUAUAAUUAGUCUAAAAAAUAUAAUUGUCAAUCCAAGCAUGCAUCACACCGAAGAACUCUUACUUACCUACUAAUCAUUCAUACAUAUAGUGCUCGCAUGAUUGGAGUUGAGGCAUAUAUCAGCAACUAAAAGUAGUGUGGAUCCAAAAUAAACACUAGUUACCCUCAAAAUGACGACACUAUGCAGUGUGUUUAAUUUGGUUUGAUCUUAGCUUGCCCGCUACUGAUCGACCUGGCCACCACUAACCUACACAAUGUAGAGAUUAUCUGUCCAUCGGUCCUAGCAUAAUUAGGCAUUUUCUAAUUGAUCCUCAUGACUGAUGAUCAGUCCUAAUCUAGGUUUAAACAUAAAGUAGGAUGGACAACCAUUUGGUGAUCCACUUGUUGUUUCAGACUGAUCUUUUCUCUGAAUCUGCCCUUGUUUUGUUCAGAUCAAUGUGACAUUGUGAUGUUAUCAACCACUCUAUGCAUGCCUUACCUACUGUUAAACAAAGCUGCUAUCUGUUAGUGGAGAUUGGGUGGAGUUUGGAGAGUAUGCAUUGCUGUACGGCUAAAUUAAAUCUCUGUAGUUUUUGAUAAGGGAUAUAUAAAGCUCAUUUAGUGGGAGCAGUUCAAAAUUGCUCGGAAUGCGCCAGUUGUUUUUACUCAAAAUGAAUUCAUAUCUAGCAAGUUGAUUUUUGUACAAUUCGUUAGCCUUUUCUAGAAUCGAUUUUAUUAUAAUUUAAUUAAAAUAAAAAGGACACACAGAUAUAGUAUAUAUGUAGUUGCACUGGUAAAUAUAUGUGCCAAUGAGAAAUGGUUGACCAGUAGUAAGGCGAUGUUUAAGAGACUGUAGCAACUACAACUUCUACAAUUUUGGGCUCUCCAAAGAAUUUAGAUUCUUAGGUUUAUUUGAUAAGGCUGCAAUUCUUAAAUUUAACUCCAAGAACAAAGUCUAGAGUGAAAUUAUGAAGAGACCCGAACACAGCUCCACUCUUCUAGUUCGUUUUUUCAGAUCAUUUUACCCAGCUUCAUUCUCAUUUUAGGUCGAGCUGAAAGUGUUUGAUUCAGCUCUGGAAUUAAGAAAUAUGGUAUUGAAAGCUAGAGCCCUGCCAAACAGAUCCAAAUUAUAAGAAUAUAUAGUGACGUAAGAAAAAAACAGAAUAUAGGAAACACAACCUUUUCAUAUUCCAAAUAGUUGCUUUUUAAGAUCUCAAGCUCCUCAAAGUCUAAAUAUAACGUAGCAUAAGGGCUGAUGUUUAGAGUCCAAAAGAAGAAAUAGAGAAAAGAGAUAAUUAUAUUCGACUUUAAUUACAUAUGAAAUAUGUCAAUUAUAGACAAAACAAAUUACAUAUACGUGCCAAACAUACACAACAAACUAAUUACACAUGUCAAAUAUAGACAAGAAACUACAUGGUUUUAAUUUUUAAGCACAAACAUUAUUCUUGUAGGCAGUUGGCUGCCACAAUACUAAUAAUGAAUGUGUUGUAAUGAUAUUCAACUCACUUAGAUUUACACACCACAGAGCGCCACGGACACAACGCCGGAUUAACAUCAACGUCGUGCGUUAAUUUAUUCAUUCCGAUUUCCGAGGCAAAUUAAUUACCGCUCAAAAAUCACAUGACGGAGCACGCGUUCUCGUCGUACUGACAGCCUCCGCCCCACGGCUGCUGCUGGCAGCACGGCGGCGGCGGCGCCGGGCAGUUGAUCGGCGGCCUGUGGCCGCCGCACCAGCCGCCACAGUCGCCGUGGCCACAGCCGCCGCACCGGCUCGGCGGCGGCGGCGGCGGGCAGUUGAUCGGCGGCUGGCCGCCGCACCAGCCGCCACAGUCCGCGUGGUCACAGCCGCCGCAUCGGCUCGGCGGCGGCGGCGGCGGGGUGAUCUUGCAGCCGCCGUGGCAGUGGUCGCGCGAGCAGUACUCGCACGCCUUCGUCUUCGUCUCCGGCGGCGGCGGCUUGGGGCAGCAGUGGCACUGCGUCGGGCAGCUCCCCGUCCACGUAGUGGAGGAGGUCUGGCAAUGCUGCAUCGGGGGGUAGUAGCACGGCGGCCACGGGUACGGCAGCGGCACCGGCGGCGGCGGCGGUGGCGUCGUCGUCUUCGGCUGCUUCUCCCCCUUAUUACCGGCGCCAUCAACUUUGGGCGGCGUAGCGGCGACCGUUGCGGCGGGCGGAGGAUUCGCAACGGCGGGAGCAGGAGUAGUGCCACCAGCUGUCUCCGGCUUCUUCGGCGGCGGCCAUACGUCAACGACGGCGAUGUCCCGGAUGAGCUUGCGGCCGGCCUUGCACCAGAUGACGCUGCGGAGCUUGUCGGUGGGGAAGUUGCCGCGGACGAUCACCCUGUCGUCCUUGUCCUCGUACUCCGUCUUCUCGAUGCCAUACUUGUCUGCACGCGCAACAGAUCACACAUCAAACAAAACAAGAAAACAACAUUAUUUACAUCAUAAUUUUACAAUACUUAAAAAAAGUAUAAUGAGCUAUCAUGUUUUCUAUGUAAAACUUUAUACCUAUACUCUUUCGCUCUUUCGAGUACCACAAAAUUUCUCUUAUUUACAAUGCAUUGGGGGAGACAGAAAACAUAAUUAAGCUAGCAAGCUAGCUAUGGAUCAUAGUCCAUAUAUAUUUGCAGUUGAAUUCGGAAAUAAAAGCAGAAUUUAUAAAUUUGCACUUACCUCUCAGGCUACAGAGGAUUUUGGAGAGCUUCUCCUUGCAGCGGCAGCAUUUCAGGUCGGCCGAGAUGACCAGUAUACCCAUCGUCGAUCUGCCACCGGAGGCGAAAGAGAAUGGGGGCGCGAUGGGGAGCAGCGGAUGUGAGUAAAGCUUUAUGUAUUGGGUCCGCGCGUGCGGAGACGAAGAGGAAAGGUAAAAAAUGCUGAGGUGUCAUGCUCUGUUCAUGAUAUUCGUUGUCGGAGGACCAUUGUUAGACUUUACUAGGCAGAGUGUGAGUAUGUGGUGUUCUGUUGGGCCGGUUGUGGGGCCAUGUAUAUAUUUGAAAAAUAAUGUGGAAAGAAGUCUGGUUGGACUCCCUCGAUUAUAUGUCCAAUCUGAUUCCUAUCACUCGAUCGCAAUACUGAAUAUAUUGACUGCUUUAACUAUGAAAACUGGUAGUACUGCCUCCAUCUCUAAAUAUUUGACGCCGUUGACUUUUCAAAUAUGUUUAACCGUUUGUCUUAUUAAAAAAAUUAAGUAAUUAUUAAUUUCUUUUCUAUCAUUUGAUUCAUUGUUAAAUAUACUUUUAUGUAUAUAUAUAGUUUUACAUAUUUCACAAAAAUUUUCGAAUAAGAUGAAUGAUCAAACAUAUUUAAAAAAGUCAACAGUGUCAAACGGAAGGAGGGAGUAUAAUUUAACUCCCGAGAACUACAAAGAUCCCCAUAACCCUCUGCUUCUCUCUGUUCUUCCCCAAUCUUAAGCGAUUCUACCCCUAAUCCUCUCAAAUUGUUCCGAACCAAACUGGCGCAAGCUGUCACAGCCGUGACCUGAGGUCGUAGCUUUUCUUCCGUCAGUACGCGUAUCUAUGGCCGCGACAGCAAGACGUAAAAGGCAUUCUUGCAUGUCAAAUAUAUUAUCAAAAUAUAUACUCCCUCCCCAUUUCGUAUUAUAAGUCAUUUGAUUUUUUUCCUAAUCGAACUUUAUUUAAAUUUGACCAAAUUUUUUAAAAAAAAUACUAACAUUUCCAAUAAAAAAUCAUAUUGAAAAUAUAUUCGAUGAAACUAAUUUAGUGUUUUAAAUGCUGCUAUUUUUUUUAUAAAUUUAGUCAAAUCUAAAGGAAUUUAACUAAGAAAAAAAUCAAACGUCUUAUAAUAUAAAUCGGAGUGAGUACGAUGCAUGGCAGAGCAAGCAAGUUGGCAACAUGAUAGGCGAAAGGACUUAUAGCCUAAUGGUUACAAGAGUCUCAGUAGCACUAUAUAUCCUGGGUUUAACUCCCCAUGUGAGCGAAUUUUUCAGGAUUUAAUGGCUAUGUGCUUUCAGUGGUAGGCGACGUACCUGUCGAUAGCGAUGCGUCUAUGGUGACUUCGUCAAUCUCCAGAAUGGCCGGCCCAAUCUUCAUAAGGGUAGAGUUCGCGUGCGUGCGUGCCUUCAUAUAGGGGUGAGUGUACAUGCCAGGAUGGCCGGCCCAGUCUUCAUAGGGGUAGGGUUCGCAUGCGUGUCUUCAUAGAGAUAAGUGUACAUACGUUGUGAGUGUCUACGUUGUAAUGUGUAAUUAAAAAAAAAUGGCAACAUGAUAGCAUUCCUAGCUCGCACGAAAUCGCUUGAGGGGGAAAGCGAACUCUCGCGCAGUCGCGAGUUCGCUGUCUCGUUUGGUGACGAAUUUUUUGUUAGUUCUUUUUUCAAAGUUGGAUGACAUUCGGCUUCAUCUCCGGUGUCUUCUCCACGAAGUACAACAAUCUCAAGUGGUUGAAUCGUUGUAUUUGCACUACAAGUUCCAAAAUAAUUACAUUAAUUAUAUUGUACUUAUAUUUGAUUUUUUUUAAAAAAAAUCUGUAGCAAAAUCGUUGGUGACAUAAACAUCAUACAUGCGUUUUUGUUUAGUUCGGGUCUAGUGUUUUAUAGCCCAAUUCUAACUUUUGCUAACUGACAAUCUAUAUUGGGCCUAAUUGACUGUGGCCCACCCAAUCUAGCAUCGUCAUCGCAGACCGCGAGCUGAGCUGCUGCAUGCUCGCUUUGGGCUGAUGCGCCAAGGUUCGGCCCAUCUCGGGUUUUCUGUUCCUUGGGCCUCUGUAAAAGAAAACAAGGCGAAGUAAAUUACUCCCUCCGUUCUAAAAUAAUCGCAGUCAUGAGUUUCCGUGUCCAACUUUAAUCGUUCGUCUUAUUUAAUAUUUUUUUAAAAAAAUGCAAAAACAUAUGUAUUCAUGUUUUAUAAUCUAAUAACAAUAAAAAUACUAAUCAUAAAAAAAUUUCAAAUAAGACGGAAGAUAAAAAUUGGACACGGAAACUCAUGGUUGCGCUUAUUUUGGGACUGAGAGAGUACUAAUAACCCAGUAAAAAACAAAAUUCCGUGAAUGACUGAGAAUAAUAACAGUUAUUAAAAUCUGUCGAGUGUUGCAAACGCAAGCGUUCAGUUCUGGUGUUUGAAGCCCUAGGCGCCACGCUAGUGCAAGACUUUACCUGAUUGAUCCUCCAAAAUAGAGUUUGGACUUUGGAUAGAUUAGCAAUCAGAGGCUAGCCGAACGGCACGAAAUUGCAUGUUGGACGGCCUGCGACCAUCUAAGGCCUUCACUUAAUUUGGAAACCAGCCUCGAUGAUAUAUGAGUGGUGCGAGGCUACAGUAAACAUGAGAGGAGUGUCAGGCACUGCGCCCUCUAACCUUACUGGUGGCCUGGGAAAUAUUAAAUGGGAGAAACAGGAGGAAUUUCCAACACAAGGAGGUGACGGCCUUAAAUUUACUCUCUAAGAUAAAGGAGAAAGUAAAAAUGUGAAGCCUAGCGGGCGUGAGGCAUCUUGCUGCCUGGCUGACAGUGCAAUUGUUAUUUGGUUGCUAGGGCCGUGGCCUCAAAACUUAUAAAUGCUUACUUUUUUUCAUGGUUUACCUCUUCUCUAUUCAAUGAAAAUUGGCGACUUACCGAUUGUAUUAAAAAAAUAAAAUCUUAUAUUCGGAUCCAGACAAUCAAGCAGCUGUCGUAGCCUCUUUGGGCUCGUGGCCGUGGCAGCUACUGAUCCGAUCAUCUCCAUUCGUGGACAAGAAAAAAAAACUUUCAUUUUUUCAUAGUCAAAUUUAAACUAAAUUAUAGAAAAAUUCAGCAAUAUCUAUAAAAUCAAAUUAAUUUAUUAAAUUUAACAUUGAAUAUAUUUUCAUAAUAUAUUUGUUUUGUAUUGAAAUUAUUAUUAUAUUUUUUUUCUAUAAAUCUGAUCAAACCUGAAAAUAUUUGACUAGAGAAAAAUAUCUAAGCGACUGAGGAGGGAGUAGAAGAAAAUUUUAGGGAUGCAAGUGGAUAGUCCCGCUACUCGCAUAAAAACCCGAUUGCUAGUUCAUUUCUCAUUUUUUUUAGAGAAGGGUAUUUUUUACUUGGCCUCUACAUCCAACCGGAUAUAUACAGCCAUUGAAAUAGGGAACACUGGUGGAGAAGUGCUUUUUAGUCCCGGUUCGUAACCCCCUUUAGUCCCGGUUGUUCAACCGGGACUACGAAUCCGGGACUAAAGAUCGCUAUCUUUAGUCCCGGGUGAAAUAACCGGGACUAAAGAUCGAUCUUUAGUCCUGGUUGGUAACACCAACCAGGACUAAAUAUAGGGAUCUUUAGUCCCGGUUGGAGUUACCAACCGGGACUAAAGACGGAGUAACAGCAGUACAGAUGGUCCUCAUACUAAUCAUUUCUCCUGAAACAAGUGGCAUGCAUAUCCCCAAAUCCCAAAUCAAAGUAACAUCCAAAUCUUUAAGUUACUUAUACACAUAAAUCAAAUACAUCGCAAAUCCUAAAAAAAAUUACACAAAUCAAAUUACAUCACAAGUUCUACAAAAUUCAUCGCAAAUACAUCACAAGUUCACAUCGCACACAAAUCAAAUACAUCACAGGAUCAUGCAAUAAAUCACAAAUUCUUAAAGAAAAAAAAAGAAACCACAGAGGCGCCGCUCGGCUGGCCGCUGCUGCCUCCUCUCCGCGCCAGCCGGCCCGCCGUCGCGCGGCCCUGCGCGCCGCCACCCGCUGCCAUGCAGGCCGCCGCCCCACGGCCCUCCGCGCCGGCCGCCGCCCCGCCGCGCGGCCCUGCGCGCCGCCGCCGUGCGGCCGCACCGCCCGGCCGGCCCGCUCGAUCCAAAAAGAAGAGAGGAAGGAAGGGUGCGGCGGCCGGCCCGCUCGAUCAAAAAGAAGAGAGGAAGGAAGAGUAGUCCUGGUCGACCGAUCAAAGAUGGUAAGGAGAUCAAAGAUGAUUUCUCCACCAGUGGAACUUAGCCCCGCAAAUAACCAAAUCUGAAAUUCGCUCCAUAGGAGAUUUGAACUCAAGACUUUGGGGUACUACUCAGGUCACUAUAACCACUAGGCUACAUGCCCUUUCGUACAAAAUUUAAAAAUUUAAAAGAGAAAAAUAAACUAGAAGUAAGAUAAGCCGGUAAAAAACCCACUUGUCCGUCCCGCUUGCAUCCCUAGAAAAUUUCAGCACGAUCGAUCGAAUCGUGCUAAAAAGUUUCAGCACGGAGAGCUCGCGAGAGAUUCCCAGACAAAUUAAUCGAGUAGGCAUGCCUAUCAAAUAGCUGUCCUCUUGUGCAUUUGCCAAGCUAGCUAGAGAGAUGCAAUAACAUGCAAAAUCCAAAAAACCAGCAGGUUCCCAUCGAUGCAGAGGGCGAGUUGCAUUGGUCCUCUCGCGUCCCUGUGCGCUCGACGUCAACCCCAGAUAGCCGCGCCUUCUCCUCCGGCGGAUGCAUCCAUCUUGAUCGCCGGAGUACUGCUGCUCGAGUUGGUAGCGAGUCGAGAUCGGAUUGGGCGAGGGCUGAAAACGAGGUGACAGAAGGAGCAAAGGAAGGAAAGCUCAGCGAAUACUGACUGUCAGCGAUGUUGGUCCAGCUAGCCCAUGUGUGUGUACUGUGCUGCAGCAUACAUGUAUGCUAGCUAGAGCAAUAUCAACAAUUAGUAGUUAUACUUUUCUUUUUUUUUUAAAAAAAAGUUAUUCUGUAAGAGAAAAGAAAUACUCCUUUUGUCUUCUCGCUACAAUCCCGACACAUUUUAUGAAUAUAAAAACCGACGCUUCUCUUUCUACUGGUGUGGCUGUUUUUUUUAAGUCAACAUGGUUAACCGUUAAAGUUGGUUGUUUUUCUUGUGUGACAUCUCGGGUGUCAUGUGAUGUUUACGUGAUUUUCAGUCCCAUCAAGAAUGCAGUGGAUGUACCGAUGCAGGUAGUUUCUAACUCAAGGAAGGUAAAGCUAAGAUAGGGACUGUCCGUGCCGCUCUAGAAAAUCUAAUAUACUUAUGUUACUAUCAUGUAUUUCCUCUGUUAUAAAAAAUAUAGCUACUUUUCCAGUUAGUCUGAACUAAAAAGUUAGCUAUUUUUGUUAGAAAUUUCUUGCCGGGCUAAUUGAAUCCUUCAAUAUUCCUUCAUUUCUCAUUUUGUAAACUCCAAAUCAGCCGGUGCUCUUUAGCCAACCAAAGAAAAGCAUUCCUUCAUUUUUCUCUUUAAAUUAGGUGUUUUCUAGCUUCUAACUACCAACUGAAGUACUCGUGCAAUCGCAAAAGGGAGUAGAGUUAUUGUACAUCCCUGUACGGAAAUUGCGAGAGCUACCUACUCCACAGAUAGGAUUAGUUAGGAUGUAGCUGUUAUUCAGCCAACUGUGCUUCGGUUAUGACACAAUUAGAUCGUUCAUUGCAAUUUCCAAGCAAGAACCGCACAAGAUGACGAUAAAGAUGAUAGGGCUCAGGAUCCUUGUAUAGUACUAGUACAUGGUGGAUUGGUUUGUGCCUCAACUCAACAGUGUCCAAAUUAAAAUCCAACACCACUUGUCAAACUGACCAUACAUACCAUCAUUGGCUUGAUAUAUAUGCACAUGGAUUAAAUGGAUACAUAUGAUGGAAAUAUUGUGUAUGGUCCUGAAUAAGUUCAGGAUAUUGUCUUAGGACCACAUCACCACACUGAUCUGAAGUCUGAAACAUAGCAAGCUCUUCUCUUCCAUCUCUCUCUCUCUCUCUCAGCCUGCUUGCCAACCACAACCACUAGCCUACAUAGCCUAUCCAUCCAUACAUCGAUCCUUAAUAAAUCAAUAAUUGUGCUCUCAUCGAGCAUGAUGAUUUUUCAUGAGUCAUGAUCAUGAACCUGGGCAUGUUUUUGUUAAGGAUGGACACAGAUUGGUAAUCACUUGCUUUCUUUUUAUAUAUAUAAUAUUGCUCUUUCGAACCUACCCAUAGAUAGGUAACCUACGUUAUGACUGUCUACUGCUAAGAGAAAAAAAAACAGGGUAUCUUUGAACCACAGUAGUGUUGGAGGUAGAGAAUUUAUUUAUUUUAUUUAUUUCGAAAAUAGGUCUAGAAGAAACAUUGCACUCAUGUGGGAAAUGGUAUUUCACGAAUAGGGAAAAGUGCGAAAUGCAUGAAUGAGAGAAAACACAAUAUAUAUAUGCCCCUUAGAUUUUUUUUAGAUAAUGAUAGAAAAACAGUCUCCGUAUCAACCAUAUGUCCCUAAGGAUGAAAGAAAUCAGUAGUGUGCAAUGAAGAUGAGAGAUAAAGGUGGUUCCUUGAAUUCGUUAAUGGAAAUUAAAAAAUCACAAAGUUUGAUUAUUAAGUUUGUGAACUCCAAAAACAAUAAAGGAAGAAUAUUUAUAGCAAAUAUAAAAGCAAAUACUAGGACACUAUCUAAAUGGUCCAUAGGAUGGUUUUCUAUUGGUUGUAGGAAUGUGACUCUCAAACCAAAUAACUCUGCUAAUCCGGAAUCUCGACAUUGUCGACCACCUUAUGUUCGAAUGCCUGGUUUCGAAGUAAAUCUGGUUUGGAGUUCUCAAUUGGCUUAUUCUGAAAUGGAAUGACAGUAGAAACCUCUUGCAUUGGUGGACACAAGGAACAAGCGACUUGGAAGUAACUAAACAAAAAGGGCUCAGAUCUCUUUUCUUGCUCAUCGCCUAGGAAAUUUGGAAGGAAUGGAACGUAAGAAUCUUCAGAGGGAAAAGGAGGCGACAAUACACCAAAUGACCAGUCACAUCCAAGACGAGGUUGGUGGGGUAUUUUCGAUGCUAAACACAUUGGGAGAAUGUUGCCAUGAGGAGUGAGGAGAGCUUCGUGCAAUCUUGUUUGCACGUAGGCAUGUACAGUUUUUUUUCUCUUUUCUCGGCCUGUUGGAUAUUUGUACUUUGUAUUUUUUUUCCCUCCUAUUAAUAUAACGCUAGUCAAAUGACUCAAAUCUAUCUGGUCGUUCGAAAAAAAAACAUAUGCAAGGGUGCCCCUAGGUAGUCCUAGUUAGUAGUAAUUAAGACAAAUAUACCACGGUAAUCAUGUUUGAUGGUGUUAGCAGACAUCCAUAAGAGCAGUUACAAUAAAACUAGGUCAGCGCGCUAUAAUUUGAUCUAGGUCAGCACACAAUUAAUCUCAUAAAGAAGGGGAGAAACGAAGAGAAAAGACGGCCAAAAACUAUUUGUAGCCAAUGCUAACACAAGAAAAAGAUAAAUUGCCACACUUUUACAGCCAAGAUACUCUACAGUUUAUGAGUUUAGUGAGCCUCUCCACGAUUAAUUAUUGUACAUAAUUAUACAUAUCGAACAACAUAAACAAACAAACAAACAAAUUUACAUGAACAUACUGUAAUUAAUUAUUAUACAGCCCACACAGCACACAACACAAACACCAUGGAUUAAUUACAAACACAUCGAUCAGCCUCGUGUUUAAUUUAUUCCGAUUUCCGAGGCAAGGAAAGGAGCAGAGGUAGUAGCAAGCAAGGAAAUUAAGCAGCAGAGAUGAUCGUGAUCGACGCCGACCGCCGGCCGGCCAUCACAUGAUGGAGCAGGCGUUGGCGUUGUCCUCGGUGUAGCACCACGGCGGCGGCGGGCAGACGGGCGGCGGCGGCCACACCUGCGGCGGCCACGGCCUGAUGCCGCAGCCGCAGUUCCCGUGGCCCCCCGAGCACCCGCACGGCGGCGGCGGCGGCGGCGCCGGCUUGCAGACGCACACGAAGGCGUGCGAGCACCCGCACGGCUUCGGCGGCUCCGGCUCCUUCGGUGGCUCCGGCGGCGGCUUCGGCGGCUCAGGCUUUGGGCAGCACCACUGCCCGGCGUACGGGUACGGCACCGGGUAAGGGUACGGCACCAGCUUGCACUCCGGCUUCGGCGGCGGCUUCUCCGGCGGCGGCUUCGGCGGCUCCUCCGGCUUGCACGGCGGCGGCUUCUCGCAUGGCUUGGGCUUCUCGCAGUGACAGGGCUUGGGCUUCUCGCAGUGGCAGGGCUUGGGCUUGGGCUUGGGCUUCUCGCAGCUGCAGCAAUGGCAGGGCUUGGGCUUGCAGUCCUCCGGAGGCUUCUCGCACGGCGGCGGCUUGCACGGCGGCGGCGGCUGCGGCAGCGGCGGCGGCCAGACGUCGACGAUGAGGAUCUCCUUGAUGAUCUUGCCGGCCUUGCACCAGAUCUUCUUGCACAGCUUCUCCGGGUCGAACUUCCCGCGCACGAUCACCCUGUUGUUCUUCACGUCGUACUCCACCUUCUCGAUGCAGUACUCCUCUGCGUUCAUAUUCAAUUAUAUUCAUUCAAACACACCCUUUUUAACAGAGGUUUUGCUCCCAAUUGAGCAGGAACACUGCUGAUUAGCCUUGAAAAUUCAAUCAAACAUGGACGAUUCGGGCAGA
rnacentral:lncRNA from 1 species